rnacentral:lncRNA from 10 species
CCAGAAGAACACAGUAUGCUGUCUGCAACUAGGAAAGCCAGUGGCAUAACUCAGUUUGAGUCUGAGGGCCGGAGAAGUAAUAGAAAGGGUGGUGGAGGAAUAAGUCCCAGAGUUCAAAGGCUGCAGUACCAGGAACUCCAAAUGAGGGCAGGAGUAAAUGAAUGUUUCAGUUUGAGAAGAGAGAAGAAAAGAAGAGAGAGAAGGAGAACAAGGGAAAGAGAGAAUGAAUUAGCUCUUCCUCUUCGUUUUGCUUCUCUUUGGGUCUCAACAGAUUGAAUCAUGCCCACCUAUAUUGAUUCUUGAUGUGCCUAGAAUGAUGGAACCACCUCAAGGCACGCAAUGGUUGAAGCAACAAACUGAUCUUGGGCCUGAAUUCGGAGACACACCUCUUGUUAUUAUUGCAUCUAUGUCACCAUCAAGUAAUUACAUAUUCCCACCACAAGCUCUGAAAACAUGCAAAACCACCUGACAAAAAGGAGAAACAAAAGAAAAAGGGGGUCUGAAACAUAACCAGAUGUACAAUACAAUCUGUUAAGGGGAGUUGAGCUGAGUUUAAAGACAACUUUCUUAUUCGUAAAACCUGGAGAAGAAAUCAUGGAAACUUCAAAAAGUAUUAAAAACUUUUAUCAGACAGAAGACAUACAAAACCUGAUUUCUGUUAUUAAACAUUUGGGGUGAUACCUCAGGAUACAUGGGCCACAGGAUAUUAAAUGCUAUCAAGGACAAGAAAUGCUUAUUUGUGAUUAACAUCUUUACAGAUUUGUUUCCAUGUUCAAAGAGCAUGUUCAUAUAUACAAUCACAUUUAAUCUAUACUUUAAUUCUGUCACAUGAGGAUUAUAUUCGUAUCCUCAUUUUAUUAUAACAGAUUUGAUACUCAGGUAGAUUAAUUAUCUUGCUGAAUAGAAUGAAAUUAGGUUACAAUGAACAGUGAUUUGAAAGUAUAUCUCCUGACUUUAAAUCCAUCAUCAUUCCUCUCUGUGCAGUUUUAGCAAAAUUACAUUAAAUUUCAUGAAAGCCUUGCAAAAA